UACGAAGGGGGCUAGCGUUGUUCGGAAUCACUGGGCGUAAAGGGCGCGUAGGCGGCCUGGCAAGUCGGGGGUGAAAGCCUGUGGCUCAACCACAGAAUGGCCUUCGAUACUGCCGGGCUUGAGACCGGAAGAGGUUAGUGGAACUGCGAGUGUAGAGGUGAAAUUCGUAGAUAUUCGCAAGAACACCAGUGGCGAAGGCGGCUAACUGGUCCGGUUCUGACGCUGAGGCGCGAAAGCGUGGGGAGCAAACAGG
rnacentral:rRNA from 1 species